UUUCGCAAUGCCCGAAAGGGUGACGAAGCGACGCCGCGUGCGGGAAGAAGGCCUUCGGGUUGUAAACCGCUGUCGGGAGUUAGGAAGUGCAAGGAUGUUAAUAGCAUUCUUGCUUGACUAAGGCUCCGGAGGAAGCCACGGCUAACUCUGUGCCAGCAGCCGCGGUAAUACAGAGGCGGCAAGCGUUGUUCGGAAUUAUUGGGCGUAAAGAGCACGUAGGCGGCUGUGUAAGUCGGUUGUGAAAGCCUUCCGCUCAACGGAAGAAGCGCAUCCGAUACUGCAUAGCUCGAGUGCGGGAGGGGAGAGUGGAACUUCUGGUGGAGCGGUGAAAUGUGUAGAUAUCAGAAGGAACACCGGCGGCGAAGGCGACUCUCUGGUCCGUAACUGACGCUGAGUGUGCGAAAGCUAGGGGAGCAAACGGGAUUAGAUACCCCGGUAGUCCUAGCCGUAAACGAUGGGCACUAAGUAGAGGGGUUUU
rnacentral:rRNA from 1 species